CUCAUUUCUAAAUCAUUUUUUUUCUCAUUUUCUUCACAAAAGGUGCACACACUGGCAAGAGAGCUCUACUGGAGUCUUUGUAGUCAAUAGACCUGUUUGUUGAAGAAUUACUACCCUAAACUUGCAUGUUAAGCAGUUUUCAGAAAACCUGGAGAAAAGUCUCGUGGCUUUGGGGAAACAAGACAAAUACCUACAGUGUUCAUGGCAUAUGAAAGCUUAUUGUCUAGAUUUAAAAUGCUUCCAACAAGCUUAUUCAUCCUUUCACCCCC
rnacentral:lncRNA from 1 species